CUUGGACAGGCCUUGUCAUCAAGGCCACUCCACUCCACCAGGGCUGCUCAGGGCUGGCCUUCCAGGGUAGGGAACUGUUGGGUGUUCGGGUUUCCAUGGGGAUUUCCAGAAGGACUAGGGGACAAGUGCAAGCCAGAAAGAUGUUCAGUUGUCAGCUGUCAAAAACUAAGUAAAAUACCACCAUCACCCUCUCCUGCAGAUGAGAAAAAAAACACCUAUAGCUUGUACUCCUGACUGCCAAAGAAAGCCAGAAAAGACUCUGGCCUCCAGGGAACUUUGUGUAACCAUGGUGACACCUGAAAUCAAAGAUGAGAAAUCAUUUGGAGCGGGGCCUCUGAUUGGUGCCUGACUCUGUAGUUCAAAUGGAUGCUAGCCCAGUUGUUUGUUUUUCAACAGUUUAGGGUCUUGUUUUGUCUUGGAAAUAUAAUCACUGCUCUUUUUCCAGUAUACACUGCCUCUGACAAAUCCAUAGAGUGGCAGUGCUGGAGGAUUUUGAUUGCAAACCAAUCAGCAAGGACUUCUGAGGAUGAGGACUUGUGUAUCAUUUUCCUGCCAGCUUUGUUGGCCUGCAGUGUGUCCGAAGUAUUUUCCUACGUAAUCGUUGAAAGAGAAGAAGUGAAAUGAAUUUCAAACUGAAGAUGAUGUGGAGAUAUGCCGGGGAGAUGAUCAGCUGAUUGGAAGGCAGCCUUGUCACUUAUGAUGCCAUAUUUGAAGCCCUG
ensembl:lncRNA